GCCGGUCCUCGGUAGUGGCCCCCGGGUAACGCACCCGGGUGCUUCGAUCGAAGACCGGC
rfam:Streptomyces scabrisporus strain NF3 contig1, whole genome shotgun sequence.